GGAUCCCAUUAGCGCAACGGUAGUGUGCGCCCUUCGAAAGGCCGUAACGCGGGUUCGACUCCCGCUUGGCACCG